UAGAGUACCGCCUCACCCUGGUCCUGAGCCAAGCCCACCUGCUGGAGCCACUCUACAAGUUCACAGCCAAGAAAACACUCCACCAUAGUCCUCUUCCCACACCUGAAAGUCAAAAGAAGCAUUCACCCAAAGAGAACGUGUUUAUUCAAGACAUUUCUCAUCAACCUCUGACCAGAGCUGCGUAUCUGGAAGACCAACCUGUCCAUAGUUGGCCACUGCACAGAAGAACUGCAGCUCCAAGUAGAGUCGACCAGGAACAGGGUUGAAGAGCACCCACAAGCAGCUGGACAGAUUCUGCCGUAACAGGAAUAUAG